rnacentral:rRNA from 1 species
UUGGGAAUCUUCCGCAAUGGGCGAAAGCCUGACGGAGCAACGCCGCGUGAGUGAUGAAGGUCUUCGGAUCGUAAAACUCUGUUAUUAGGGAAGAACAAAUGUGUAAGUAACUAUGCACGUCUUGACGGUACCUAAUCAGAAAGCCACGGCUAACUACGUGCCAGCAGCCGCGGUAAUACGUAGGUGGCAAGCGUUAUCCGGAAUUAUUGGGCGUAAAGCGCGCGUAGGCGGUUUUUUAAGUCUGAUGUGAAAGCCCACGGCUCAACCGUGGAGGGUCAUUGGAAACUGGAAAACUUGAGUGCAGAAGAGGAAAGUGGAAUUCCAUGUGUAGCGGUGAAAUGCGCAGAGAUAUGGAGGAACACCAGUGGCGAAGGCGACUUUCUGGUCUGUAACUGACGCUGAUGUGCGAAAGCGGGGGGAUCAAACAGG